UAAAUGUUUGAUUUGCGUACCUCUUUUAUCUAUUUGGGGGAGACUUUUGCUUAUGACUAGUUUCUAACAGCUAUUGUGAAGCUGUGUCCAAAUAGCAGUCUGGAAAUCACCUAAGCCGGGUGCUUUUGUGGUGUCUCACUGAUGCCACCUCUCUUGGUGUGUUUAAAUUUGAAUCCCAAUUUUGAAAAUGGUGUGCAAAUCACACUUAUUUAACAUAUUUGAAUAAACACCUUCACCCUGUAUCUCUGCCACCAGGCCAAGAAGUGAUGGAUCAGUGACUUCAGAAAGGUGAGUUUUGGUUUGUCAAAGUUGAAGAUAAGACAACACCUAAUAGCUAAUAAGAAAUGGGUGGGGGAUGGGGAAGCAGAUCAAUUCUUAAAAGUCAGGGACAAAAGGUUAAUAGGGUAGCUUUGGUAAUAUAGAUCUGCAGAAGGUUGCCAAGCAGGAUAGCACCAGGGAAUAUACACAUGGUACUGCCAAGUAAGAAUUAAAAGAGGGUCAGGAGGUUUAUGGCUAGUUUGAACAUUUCUAGAAGGUGAAAACAAGCAGCAACAUUAUAUUUCUACCAAGAUAGGAUUCUUUCUAUCCAAUCCAUGGUGCAAUGAUGUCUUCAGGUAAUCUUCAAGUGUCACUUAGCUACUUUUCAUGAUGUCAGCUGGGUGAGCUUCGUGGUCUUUCAGGGUGGAGGGAUAAAUAUAAGUGUCAAUUCAUUGUGCGUCUAAGGUCAAAAU
rnacentral:lncRNA from 1 species